AACGAACGCUGGCGGCAUGCCUAACACAUGCAAGUCGAACGAGACCUUCGGGUCUAGUGGCGCACGGGUGCGUAACGCGUGGGAACCUGCCCUUAGGUUCGGAAUAACUUCCCGAAAGGGGUGCUAAUACCGGAUAAUGUCUUCGGACCAAAGAUUUAUCGCCUUUGGAUGGGCCCGCGUUGGAUUAGCUAGUUGGUAGGGUAAAAGCCUACCAAGGCGACGAUCCAUAGCUGGUUUGAGAGGAUGAUCAGCCACACUGGGACUGAGACACGGCCCAGACUCCUACGGGAGGCAGCAGUGGGGAAUAUUGGACAAUGGGCGAAAGCCUGAUCCAGCAAUGCCGCGUGAGUGAUGAAGGCCUUAGGGUUGUAAAGCUCUUUUACCCGGGAUGAUAAUGACAGUACCGGGAGAAUAAGCUCCGGCUAACUCCGUG
rnacentral:rRNA from 1 species